CGGUGCGUAGACGCCGGAUACUUCGACUGCUAAUCGAGAGGUCGCAGGUUCGACUCCUGCCGUCCCGGC
rnacentral:tRNA from 1 species